rnacentral:rRNA from 1 species
AUUGAACGCUGGCGGCAUGCCUUACACAUGCAAGUCGAACGGUAACAGGUCUUCGGAUGCUGACGAGUGGCGAACGGGUGAGUAAUUUAUCGGAACGUGCCCAGUAGUGGGGGAUAGCCCGGCGAAAGCCGGAUUAAUACCGCAUACGACCUGAGGGUGACAGGGGGGGAUUCGCAAGAACCUCUCGCUAUUGGAGCGGCCGAUAUCAUCUUAGGUAGUUGGUGGGGUAAAGGCCUACCAAGCCUGCGAUCUGUAGUUGGUCUGAGAGGACGACCAGCCACUCUGGGACUUAGGCACGGCACAGACUCCUACGGGAGGCAGCAGUGGAGAAUUUUGGACAAUGGGCGCAAGCCUGAUCCAGCAAUGCCGCGUGCACGAAGAAGGCCUUCGGGUUGUAAACUGCUUUUGUCAGGGAAGAAAUCCUCUGGGUUAAUACCUCGGGGGGAUGACGGUACCGGAAGAAUAAGCACCGGCUAACUACGUGCCAGCCGCCGCGGUAAGAC